rnacentral:rRNA from 1 species
AUGGGUCUACGUGCAAAGAAAGGCAUCUCUGUUGAUACACCAACCAAAUGGAACUCAACCUGGAAAAUGCUUGUAGAAGCAUUGACGUACAAAUCUGUUCUCACUAGUUAUGCCAACAGAAAGAUGAUGGAUUCUCCAAGUGAGGAGGAAUGGGAGAAGGAAAAAGCUAUUUGUGAGUUUCUAAAAGCUUUUGAAGAGCUUACUUUGAUUGUUUCAGCUCAUAGGAAGCCAACUUCACAUUAG